rfam:Halanaerobium praevalens DSM 2228, complete genome.
AAGGUGCCAAAACCGCACGGUACAGGUUCAAAAAUCUCUAUUUAAAAGAGUACCUUAUCCGGCGAGUCUGAGGUAAGGG